CACGCCUAACACAUGCCAGUCAAACGGUGGUCAGUCAUGUCAUAGUGGCUCACCGGUGCGUAACACGUAGCUAACCUACCUAUAACUGGGGGAUAGCCCGCCGAAAGGCGGAUUAAUACCGCAUAACCCACUUACUCGGCAUCGGGUGUUUGGUAAAGAUUUAUUGGUUGUAGAUGGGGUUGCGGGUCAUUAGCUAGUUGGUUGGGUAACGGCUGACCAAGGCGACGAUGACUAGGGGAGCUGAGAGGCUGGUCCCCCACACGGGCACUGAGAUACGGGCCCGACUCCUACGGGAGGCAGCAGUAGGGAAUAUUGGGCAAUGGGCGAGAGCCUGACCCAGCCAUGCCGCGUGCAGGAAGAAGGCUUUCUGAGUCGUAAACUGCUUUUGACAGGGAAGAAUAAGCACUACGUGUAGUGUGAUGACGGUACCUGCAGAAUAAGCACCGGCUAACUCCGUGCCAGCAGCCGCGGUAAU
rnacentral:rRNA from 1 species